GACGAACGCUGGCGGCGUGCUUAACGCAUGCAAGUCGAGCGGUAAGGCCCUUUCGGGGGUACGACGAGCGGCGAACGGGUGAGUAACACGUGGGUGACCUGCCCUCAGCUCUGGGAUAAGCCUGGGAAACUGGGUCUAAUACCGGAUAUGACUCCAUGACGCAUGUUGUGGGGUGGAAAGCCUUGUGCGGCUGAGGAUGGGCCCGCGGCCUAUCAGCUUGUUGGUGGGGUGANGGCCUACCAAGGCGACGACGGGUAGCCGGCCUGAGAGGGCGACCGGCCACACUGGGACUGAGACACGGCCCAGACUCCUACGGGAGGCAGCAGUGGGGAAUCUUGCGCAAUGGGCGAAAGCCUGACGCAGCGACGCCGCGUGAGGGAUGACGGCCUGG
rnacentral:rRNA from 1 species